CCUACGGGUGGCUGCAGUGGGGAAUAUUGCACAAUGGGCGCAAGCCUGAUGCAGCCAUGCCGCGUGUGUGAAGAAGGCCUUCGGGUUGUAAAGCACUUUCAGCGGGGAGGAAGGCGUUAAGGUUAAUAACCUUGUCGAUUGACGUUACCCGCAGAAGAAGCACCGGCUAACUCCGUGCCAGCAGCCGCGGUAAUACGGAGGGUGCAAGCGUUAAUCGGAAUUACUGGGCGUAAAGCGCACGCAGGCGGUCUGUCAAGUCGGAUGUGAAAUCCCCGGGCUCAACCUGGGAACUGCAUUCGAAACUGGCAGGCUAGAGUCUUGUAGAGGGGGGUAGAAUUCCAGGUGUAGCGGUGAAAUGCGUAGAGAUCUGGAGGAAUACCGGUGGCGAAGGCGGCCCCCUGGACAAAGACUGACGCUCAGGUGCGAAAGCGUGGGGAGCAAGCAGGAUUAGAUACCCCAGUAGUC
rnacentral:rRNA from 1 species